rnacentral:tRNA from 1 species
GGUUCCAUAGCUCAAUUGGAUAGAGCAUGGGUUUUCUAAACCCAGGGUAGAGGUUCGAGUCCUCUCGGAAUCA